GCAGGGAUCAGUGGUGGCACAUUGCUUGUCAUUCCGUCUGCCAGACAUGCUGGGGCUGGCGGAUCUCUUUGACCUUGGGAGUCCUGCACUGCAGUGGGCCAAGCCGAUCAGGUGUCCCCACUAAGUCUGGCAUAAAUAUGGUGAGUCUCCUGUAUUGGGGGAGCCACCAGGAGGCCUAAUGAGUGGCAAACCAGCCCAGGUCGGAAACAAAACAGAUCACGGCUCUGGUGCUAAUCAGUAAUGGGAUCAGGUUGUACUUUGAGCCCAGGUGAGAGAGGGAGACCCAGUCUU
rnacentral:SRP_RNA from 1 species